rnacentral:lncRNA from 1 species
GGAGGGCUCACCGAUGUUUUUGUGCACUCUUUGAGUGGAAAUCCAGUUUCUCAAAGAUCCCAGGUUUCUGUUCUUUUGGUGGGUCUUCGAGAUCCUUCUAUCUUACCUACAUACGUUGUGUUGCAUGUGAUAAAAAAAAUAGCACUAGUGUUUAUUUUGGUCUUCCAAAGAUGUAUAUAACAUUACGUUACACAUGCUUGGAAAUUAUUAAAAACGGGAAAUAACUAAUAUCUUUUUUAAGAAUUCUUUCAGCUAGGGGGUUGCAAAAUAAAUAAAAAAGGAAAGAAAAUUAUGGGGUGAUCAAUUGUCAAUAGCAAAUAAUAUACCAAUAUGGAAUGCAUAUUUGAUCUUAUGAUAGGAUGAAUCAAUCAUGAAAAUCGAAAUUGGAGUUAAACUUCGUGCAAGAAACUUAAUACCUAUGCUUUUCCAACUUCAUGCACAAAGUAUUGGAAAAGAAAGAAUGAAAGUAUUUUCAUCAAUUGAAAAGUGCAUAGAAAAUAGUCUUAAUUUCAUAUACAAUAAGGACGAGUCUUACAGUUUUUGCUAACAAGAUUUUUUGAAAGAUAUCUUCAUUCCUCUCGAGCUUUGAGAUUUCAUUGACAAAAAUUUUGAAACCCUCUAAAAAUGUUCAUACCUUUUCUUUUGCAUUUCAAAGAGCUUAGAAUUUACAUGGAUCUAUUUUUGCAUUUGCGUCUAGCCAAGGCAAAUAUAAGCAGUUUCAAGUGCCUCUUCAUGAUUGUAUGAUGAAGUAUUAUUCAGUUUAGUCAUCAUUUAGGUAUCAG